AAGUAGGCGUUUGGUGUGUAGCGACACCACGGACCCGAGCUAACGGGGGGUUUCGACCCCUCCCACGCCUAGCCGUGCGUGGCUUUGCCGUGUCCGGGGAAAAGGGGAUCCUGGGGGUUGAGCCGACGCUGGGUGAUUGGACCUUUAAGGCCCCCCGGCAGAGGCAACACACCCCUUUGGCCCCGGCUUCACGUAGACGGCACCCCUGGGCUGACCCACCCAGGGGAAAUCGGCAGUCGCCUUUUCCUAUCUCUCUCCCCCUAAUCUUCGUCUUUAUCUCUCACAUUUUAUCUGUCCUGUCAUCUUCUCUCUUCCAUUUACUUCAAAUUUCUUGGCGGCGAGGGUUAACAUGGUGUAGCUAUCCAACCUAGGGAAAUUAUAACAGGUUAUAGCGGCGAUGUAUGGCUGGCGUCUCCAAGUGUUUGCUUUCAACCUUGUAGCGUCCCCUUGUUGGGCUCGGUGGUGGGUGGCCACCAUCGCCGCCGAACUUUACAGUAUUUUUAUGGCAAAAGCUUUCCACCCCCCCUUCCUGAUCGCUCCCUGAAAAGGGGGCGCACCGAAGACACUUUCCUGCUUAACACACCAAAGCCGGCAUUCCCAAAGUACCAUGUUAUCCACAGCCAGAACGAAAAGAAGACAGUCCGAGCGAUUUCACCCUUCCUCGUGUCGAAAGCUCUCACAGAAGCAAUAGGCCCAGAUUAUAAAUUGACAAAGAUGGGAAGUGGCGAUCUUCUUCUGGAGGUUCGUGACAAAGCUCAGUAUGAGAAGCUGUCUAAACUUGUAGCGUUUGGGGAAACCCCUGUUUCGGUGGGUCCACACAGGUCAAUGAACACUGUCCGUGGCGUAAUUUCCGAUGAUGAUCUUACUGAACUUUCUGAAAGUGAACUGCUCGAAGGUUGGCAGGACCAGAACGUGGUCAAAGUCCAACGAAUAAUAAUAAGGCGCAACAACAAACAGACCCCUACAAAA